CUCAUCUCCAAGGGUGACGCCGCAUGUUCAGCGUCUCCAGUAUGUACUGCUGGUACCGAUUGCCCGACAGCUCUUGUGUACAAGACUUGUAUUCUAACUGAGUACAAUAAGUGCGCAACAGAUGGCACAGAAGAUGCAAAUCGACUUAGCCUCUACAGCACUUACGAACCAGCCUCCGUCAUCUACAGCGCUGUCUGCGGUGCUGAAUCUAUUGCCUUCUCAGUGGUCACUGGAGUCAUCGCCGUCAUCGCAUCCUUCCUGUUUUCUAAGUGAGCACGAGCCACCCCACCCCUACCUCGACCAUGUCCC